UACGUAGGGUGCGAGCGUUGUCCGGAAUUACUGGGCGUAAAGAGCUCGUAGGUGGUUUGUCGCGUUGUUCGUGAAAACCGGGGGCUUAACCCUCGGCGUGCGGGCGAUACGGGCAGACUUGAGUACUGCAGGGGAGACUGGAAUUCCUGGUGUAGCGGUGAAAUGCGCAGAUAUCAGGAGGAACACCGGUGGCGAAGGCGGGUCUCUGGGCAGUAACUGACGCUGAGGAGCGAAAGCGUGGGGUAGCGAACAGG
rnacentral:rRNA from 1 species